rnacentral:lncRNA from 13 species
UUUGAAGGUUACAGAAUACUCCAGAGAGACAAAAGACAUGGAAUAAAGGAUCCCAGCACCCAAAAAGAGAAGGCUUAGUGUCUGCAGCCAUAGCCCUCGGCAAUCAGACAUCCUCCUCCUUAAUGUGAGGUUAAGAGGGGACUAGAAGUGCUCAGAGGAGGGACUGCCUCUGGCUAGUGCAGGGGAGAGGCAGGGGUGUUGAGGCACAGGAGCCAGAUGAGAGGAACAUCCGCAGAAAAGCAGUGAGAAGAACAUGAGAGCUUCUUGAUAGCAAUAGAACUUCCUAGACAGACUGGGAAGCGGGAUUGUAGCUUGAGGGGAUAUGACAAUAUGUGGUGGCCCUGAAUUUUCACUUUGGAAUGAACUGCUUUGGACCAGGAAGAAGCGCUGAGCCUAGGAAGACAGGAGGCACAGGGCUGUGUGGGUUUUUGUCUGGCAGGGACCUAUGAGCUUCACAGGACAAAUGGAUCAGGGGGCAGGAUAAAGCAUACACCUCCACCCCCACAGUGCUCUCUUAGCCAUCUCAGGCUUCCCAGAGCCCUUCACACUCACAGGCCUUUCUGCGUGGGUUCCCUUCCGCAGGCUGCGUAAACCAGUCCUGUUGUAGACCUUGUAGCAUCUGCUGCAGUGAUCUGGUUUGGGUUUCAGUAAUACUUGCGAUGGUUUGGAAGGAAAUGGGAAGUUUGCCUUCUAACUACUUUUUCUUUUUGAUUCAAGAACCCUAGCAGUUCUAUAACCUUCUAGCCUAAAACCAAAAUAGAAGACAAAUAAAUAAAAGGAAGUAAAAACAUCCAAUGGGCAUGGCCUGGCAGCAUUGCCAGAGAGAGCCCUCAGGGGCCCAGGCUUGUUCUGUGUUUUGCUCUUCCAUUCCUAGGAUGGACAGCACGAAAGAGGCAGUACAUGCUAACAAAACCAGGGUUCUGGAAGAAGGGAGAGGUGGUGAAUGGUUGUUUCAAGCAAUCAACAGCUUAUACUUCAAUGGAAAGAGGGUCGGAUUUGAUUCCUGAUCACAAAUCUUCACUUCUGUCACCCACUAAUCUCUGUGCCUUCAGGCUGGCCUUGCCAACAGAAUGUGGCAGAAGUGACAUUGUUCCAGUUCUGGGUCAAAGCCUGAGGAGGCCUUGCAUGCUUCCACUCUCUCUUGCAACCCUGCAUGGCCACAUGAACAAGCCUGGGAUAGCCUGCUAGAUGAUGAAAGACAUAUGGCUUGCUUGCUUCCAUCACUCCAGCUGAUAGCCAGCUAACUCUAAGAAGCAAAGCCAUCUAGCUGGUUAGUAGCUGACCACUAACACAAGACCACUUACAAGAGUAAGAUCAUCUGAGAUCAGAAGAACAGCCCAGUUGAGUUCAGCCUAAAUUGCUGACCCACAAAAUAAUAAUCAAUAAAUGGUUGUUAUUUUUAUGUCA